CAAACAAGAUGGCGGCCUCUCAGCGGCAGUGGAGCGAACUUUUAUCUUUUUACGCUGUAUCUGCAGUGGAAGAUGAAGUCGUUGGGUCAACUUGAGAUUGUCAGUGGAUGCUCCAGUCAGCUGUGAACUCAAGACUGCACUUCAGAAACAUUGGUCAGGCACUCCAUCAUUUCCUCGUUAGCCCCUGGUCCCUGCCCUGGCCUGAAGUCAUCGCUCAGUUAGGCAGCUGCCAUGCCAGCCCUGAGGGUCUCCAUUGGUGAGUGAGGAGUCAAGGGUUGGUCACUGGAUGUAGUGUCCAUUCCUUCUACUCCCAUGUCCAAUUAGGAGCUAUUUGAAACAAAUAAAUAACCCUCACCGUGUCCUUGUGCACCACUUCUCUCCAUACAGCCAAGAGGUGAUCUUGGCCACUCCUCAGUUGUAAGUUAUGUAACUGAAAGUACUUUGCUAUGAAAUACAUGCUUUAUUUAUUUAUUUGUAAAAGAAGUAAAUGAAUGAAAAUAGACUUGAAGAGCAGAUGCAAUGUCUGUGUGACUCUUCCCUGUGGGCUUUCCCGCAGACUGCCACUGGCAACCCUGCUAAAGUCUCUGAGCAAGUAUUAAACAACCCCUGAUUCAACAUCUUCAUCACAUCCUUCACUGCAUUUCUGCAUUUGUUGCCUUUAUUUUUAUUUUAUUUUUCACACAA